UCUGCUGGCUCUGGUAAUCAGGCUGGAUUAUCUGGGUGAUCUCUGCUCGUGGUUCUGUGCCUGCUUCUAAAUGAGGAAUGAUGAUGUCUCCUGACCUUGGGGGCCACCAGAGAGCAAGGAGGCAUACUGAUACCUUGCCCAUCUCCCCCAGAGUCCACAUAGAUUCCCUAUUGGGCUCCCUGCCCACCCCAUGGAGCCACACGAUGUCCUGUGGUGUCCCUAAUGUUGGUGUGAGUCCCAAAUUAAUGGGGCCCCUUACAGCCAGUACCAGCCAGGGAGCUGGACCAUGCAGACCUUCUACUUUGGAACCAGGCAAACCCGAGUGUAAAUUCCAGCUCUGUCCAUGCCUCGCUGUGUGACCUCGACCAAUGUGCUACACCUCUCUGAGCCUGUUUUUGCAUUUGUAAAAUGGUGACGUAUAGGACUGCUGGAAGGAUUCUGUGAAGUAGGACACCUAAAAGUUGCCAGCCCAGGGCUGGCUUACCACAGGUGCUCCGUAAGCAUCCCUCCCUUUCUGAAGGGAGCUGCCAGGUGGGCUGCCAGUCAGUGGAUGAAGACCUAGGGCAGGGGAAGCCGCCAUGCCUUAUCCUCACUUUCUUCACUAUCCUGAUGACUGGUCAGGCCUGAAGAGGCUUCCUGACUCUGCCAAGGCCACCCCAUCUAGCUCCCCCUCAGCCCUGAGCCCUGGCUCCAACCAUCCCAAGUUGACCCAAGGCCAUUGCAGACCUUCCAGCGCAUUGCCUGUGGCAGGGAUGGGGCGGCUGUGGCCACAGCAGUCCUCCUCAGGCCUCCCGUGCGACCGUCCCACCGGAGAGUGAGCCCCCUGGAGGCAAGGCCCCGGGCUCUCUUCCAGCCAACUUCUCCAUCUGUCAGGUAGACCCUCUCCCCCAGGGGUCCAGCCCUGUGUGCUGCUGAGGGAGCCAAGGGAAGACGUGGACAGAGGCCCUGUCCUGGGCCCCCAGCAGGACAGGAUGCCUCACCCAAGGGGCAGCCUAUGGAGCACAGCCCGGCCUGGCCUCGGUUGGGCUGGAGGAGCCGGAGGAGGAGCAUCUAGAGACAGCUUCCCAAAGAGGCAGAAAAGCAAAUGGGAUCAGGGAGGAAAGGGCCCACAGCUGGAGGGAGGCCGGAUGGGCUUCCUUACAGAAUCCCCCGCCUUAAGGAAGCAAAAGGUAUGGCUCCAUGUCGUGGAUGAAGCCACUGAGAUUUGGAGGGAUGAACUUAGGGUCACAGGGCAUGUGAGGGACGGGAUCGGGCCAUCUGGAACCCAGCUAGGGUGACAGGCUCUGGUAAGGGCCCCGUGGGACCAGGGCCACAGUGGGAGCAGAGAUGAGGCAGGAGAGUUUAGACUUGCCCUCCCGCCUUACAGAGCAGGGGCCUAGAAGCCUCGGGAAAGACUUUGGGGUGACAAUGGAGCCCCUUGCACGUGCCUGGCCUCCACCCCCACAGUUCUAGGAGGCCAAAAAAGGAGGGGCCACCCCAGCCCCUCUAAUAGAUUCCUCUUUGAUCAUGUUUUUGUGACCUUUGUAAAAGGCAAUUUAAAUUCUAAUUGUCCUGUGAGCACCAAAGGAAUCAAUUAGAGACAAGAGCAGCUAAUUGUGUGGGGGAGGCGAGGCCCCGGGGUAGGAGGUAAAGGGAGGUACAGGUGCCCCACGCCCCCGGCAUUUGCCUGGCAGCCUCCAGCUUCUCCUCGCAGUCUGUGGUGGAGGUUGGCAGGGUCCUCAGGGCAGGAGGAGGAGCCUGGGGCCAAGGUAUAGAGCUGAGUGGGAGGUCCCCCAACCCCACAGGACACAGCCCUUCUAGGCCCCUAGGCCCACCCACAAGCCAGCCCGUAGGUCCCCUUCCCUAGGAAGCUGUCACCACCAUCACAGCACCACCUCCCUUCCACCCCCUCUGCUGGCUCCGCUCACGCCACAGGGCUGCUCUGUCCUGAGCCCUGCGCUGCCUACGUCUAUGGGGUUGGGAUCCAGAAAUGCAACCCCUGAGGAGACAAGUUGACCUCGCCCCACACCAGCACACCCGUGUGUGUAGACGCCCGGGGCCGAGCCCCAGCCCAGAGCUCUCUGGGAAGAAUGGUGUUCCAAGCUGGGCCUUGGGGGUGGGCGGUGGGCCUCCCGACCCUCUCUGGAACUCAGCUCAGUUCAAAUCCGGAGUGUUCACUGCACAGAGCUCCUCAGCCUGGCCCUCAAGGCUCAUGGCCACGUCUCUCUCAGGCAUCACCCUUCGUCCGUGGGCCCCAGGGCACAGUCCCACCUCCACUCACACCAUUGUCUAGCACAGAAAAGCCUCCAGCUUCUCCAGUCCUGUUCUUUCAGUCUUAGAGUUAUUUGUAAGAUGGGGAUGAUAGUUAUUAUAUUGUUCUAUAUCAUCCCCUUGCGAGGAUGAAAUGACAUAGGGUCUGUAAAGUCCCAGAGCAGGUCCUGGUACACAGUAGGUGCUCAAGGAAUGGUACUUGUUACCAACAUCUACCAACCGCCCAGUGAGUUCAUCUGGCCCCCUUUCCCCAAACACAGCCCCCACGCGUGUGUUAGGAUGGUCUCUCCACAGACAGAGGCCCUGAGAGCACGAAUGUGCUAUUUCACUCCCCAUGUCACUGGUGCCCAGCACAGAGUAAACAUCAGUGAAUUGUCACUCAAUGGUACUGGUCCCUCUGAGCCUGCGUACGUGCUCCCUGGAGUGUUGGGAUCUUCCCGCAGUGUCAGCCACAUGUGCAUCGGUAGGCAAAAUAAGCACAACACCCAGCCCAGGACGGUCCUCACCAUGUGCCAGGCACCAAGCCCUUAGCAAAAACUAAUUCAUGUUAAUCCUUAGAACAGCCCUAUAGGGGGGUGCUUACUACCUCCAUUUUACAGAUGGGGAGACUGAGGUCCAGAGAGGUGCCGGAACUUGUCUGUAACCCCACAGCUGGGAUGGGCAGCCCCUGGAUUUGAUGGGAGUUCCCCUCGUGGCUCAGCACUAAUGAACCUGACUAGUAUCCAUGAGGACUUGGAUUUGAUCCCUGGUCUUGCUCAGUGGGUUAAGGAUCUGGCAUUGCCAUGAGCCGUGGUGUAGGUCACAGAUGCAGCUCAAAUCUGACAUUGCUGCGGCUGUGAUUGCUGCAGCUCCAAAUUUGACCCCUAGCCUGGGAACUCCCAUAUGCCGAGGCCCUUUUAGGGCGUGGCUCU
rnacentral:lncRNA from 1 species